AUUUAUAUAGUAUAAAAAUUAUAUUUAACUUCCAAUUAAAAGAUCUAUUCAGUAUAAAUA
rnacentral:tRNA from 1 species